CAGUCCUUGAGGGCCGCUGUCCUCAAACUUUUCCAUGCGUCCCUGCUGCAACACACCUGAAUACGAUCAGUAUGUGAUUAGCAGGACUCUAUAGAACCUGACUGCACGCUGAGGUGGCAACUCCUAACCCUACUGAUGUAAAUUUAAGUAAAUCAGGGACAUGGAAAAGUUAGCGGACAGCGGCCCUCGGGGACUGGAGUUGGAGACCCCUGGCCUACAUAAAGAUGAAGUUCUGACAUGGGGCUUUCAGACUGGGUACAUUUAGAAUGAAUAUUUUUAGAAUUUAGAUUUUAAGUAAGCUUAGGCAAAAAGUUUGCAUAAAACAGACGAUUGAUAGAAUUAAUGUUUCUCUGUGGCAGAAAAACCCUGAGAGUGAACCUCUGCCAUGCACUGAGCAAGCAAGUCAAUAAACAGGUAAAUACUAUUAAUGAUAUGAAAAAUACAGUCCUGGUAGCUUCUUUCUGCAGAUGUCAGCUGCUCUACAUUUGCCUUCUCAUUUCCACUUUUAGAAGAAAUGUUAAAGUUUAUUUUCAUAAACCAAUGCAGUUACUAACUUGUUUUUUAUCUAGAUUAUUUUGCGCACACUGAAACCCACACAAACAGCUGUCCAUCAUCCUCAUCAAGUUCAAGUCAUUUGUAUGACAGUAUUAAUUUAAUGCUCUUGAAAUGCUGAGCAAAGAGACGUUUAGUGUCUAAUAUAAAAUUAUAGAAGACACAACACCUGGUCUGUUGGGUUAAUGCUGUCUAAACAUUUUUAGAUUGAAUCUUUUCCAUCCUUUCAGUCGGCUCUCUGCAGAAACCUGUUAAAUCAUCAUAAAGUUAAACUUCUUUUUAAACUUUUUUCUUUUUAAACCAUCUGA